rnacentral:rRNA from 1 species
CCUACGGGGGGCAGCAGUGAGGAAUAUUGGUCAAUGGGCGCGAGCCUGAACCAGCCAAGCAGCGUGAAGGAUGACUGCCCUACGGGUUGUAACCUUCUUUCAUAAAGGAAUAAAGUGAGGCACGUGUGCCUUUUUGUAUGUACUUUAUGAAUAAGGAUCGGCUAACUCUGUGCCAGCAGCCGCGGUAAUACGGAGGAUCCGAGCGUUAUCCGGAUUUAUUGGGUUUAAAGGGAGCGUAGAUGGGUUGUUAAGUCAGUUGUGAAAGUUUGCGGCUCAACCGUAAAAUUGCAUUUGUUACUGGCAGUCUUGAGUACAGUUGAGGUAGGCGGAAUUCGUGGUGUAGCGGUGAAAUGCUUAGAUAUCACGAAGAACUCCGGUUGCGAAGGCAGCUUACUAAACUGCCACUGACAUUGAGGCUCGAAAGUGUGGGUAUCAAACAGGAUUAGAUACCCCUGUAGUC